UCGUUGCCUGUGAUGGUAUUAAAUAUACUUUGAGUGAUUGAUUCACAAGGAAAAGCAUAUUAAUCUGAGGCUUCUG